CCACAGAGGAACUCUCAUUUUCUGCUGAGACCCAGCUCACUUUGUGGAUGACCUUCAAGAUGCCCAGGUGCAAGAACAAGAUGGGUUCAUCAGCACAGCCGGCAGCAGCUGACCACCAAACUUCAAAGGAAAUAUUCUCCAAUCGCUCCUUCCAGAUCCAUCUGGCAGCCUGAGCCUGGCCUCAGCUCAAGUCCAUGAUAAAUGUUCCUUUAAUGCAGA
rnacentral:lncRNA from 1 species